rnacentral:rRNA from 1 species
GGGAGGUAAAUUUCUUCUAAAGCUAAAUACUGGCCAGAGACCGAUAGCGCACAAGUAGAGUGAUCGAAAGAUGAAAAGCACUUUGGAAAGAGAGUCAAAAAGCACGUGAAAUUGUUGAAAGGGAAGCGCUUGCAGCCAGACUUGCCUGCGGUUGCUCAUCCGGGCUCUUGCCCGGUGCACUCUUCCGUAGGCAGGCCAGCAUCAGUUUGGGCGGCUGGAUAAAGGCCUCUGUCAUGU